GCAUUCAUGGUGUAGUGGUAAGACGCUAGGCCCGUAUUCGAGAGGUCCCUGGUUCAAGUCCCGGUGAUGGCA
rnacentral:tRNA from 1 species